rnacentral:rRNA from 1 species
ACUCCUACGGGAGGCAGCAGUGGGGAAUAUUGCACAAUGGGCGCAAGCCUGAUGCAGCAACGCCGCGUGAGUGAUGAAGGCCUUCGGGUCGUAAAGCUCUGUCCUCAAGGAAGAAUAAAUGACGGUACUUGAGGAGGAAGCCCCGGCUAACUACGUGCCAGCAGCCGCGGUAAUACGUAGGGGCAAGCGUUAUCCGGAAUCACUGGGCGUAAAGGGUGCGUAGGCGGUUUUCAAGUCAGAAGUGAAAGGCUAUGGCUCAACCAUAGUAAGCUUUUGAAACUGUUAAACUUGAGUGCAGGAGAGGAAAGUGGAAUUCCUAGUGUAGAGGUGAAAUUCGUAGAUAUUAGGAGGAACACCAGUGGCGAAGGCGACUUUCUGGACUGUAACUGACGCUGAGGCACGAAAGCGUGGGGAGCGAACAGGAUUAGAUACCCUGGUAGCACAGAG